rnacentral:rRNA from 1 species
AGAGUUUGAUCCUGGCUCAGAUUGAACGCUGGCGGCAGGCCUAACACAUGCAAGUCGAGCGAGAAAGCACUUCGGUGUGAGUAUAGCGGCGGACGGGUGAGUAACGCGUAGGAAUCUGCCCAGUAGUGGGGGACAACCUGGUGAAAACCAGGCUAAUACCGCAUACGCCCUACGGGGGAAAGGGGGCUCUUUGAGCUCCCGCUAUUGGAGGAGCCUGCGUUAGAUUAGCUAGUUGGUGGGGUAAAGGCCUACCAAGGCGACGAUCUAUAGCUGGUCUGAGAGGAUGAUCAGCCACACUGGAACUGAGACACGGUCCAGACUCCUACGGGAGGCGGCAGUGGGGAAUAUUGCACAAUGGGGGAAACCCUGAUGCACCCAUGCCGCGUGUGUGAAGAAGGCUCUAGGGUUGUAAAGCACUUUCAGUGGGGAGGAAAAGUUAGUAGUUAAUACCUGCUAGCCCUGACGUUACCCACAGAAGAAGCACCGGCUAACUCCGCGCCAGCAGCCGCGGUAAUACGGAGGGUGCUAGCGUUAAUCGGAAUUACUGGGCGUAAAGCGCGCGUAGGCGGCUUGUUAAGUCGGAUGUGAAAGCCCCGGGCUCAACCUGGGAACUGCAUCCGAUACUGGCAGGCUAGAGUACGAGAGAGGGUGGUAGAAUUUCUAGUGUAGCGGUGA